GUUCACUGCCGUACAGGCAGUCUUCAAA
rnacentral:other from 2 species